rnacentral:rRNA from 1 species
GGAAUAUUGGUCAAUGGGCGCAAGCCUGAACCAGCCAUGCCGCGUGCAGGAUGACGCAUCUAUGGUGUGUAAACUGCUUUUGUACAGGAAGAAACAUCCCGACGAGUCGGGACUUGACGGUACUGUAAGAAUAAGGAUCGGCUAACUCCGUGCCAGCAGCCGCGGUAAUACGGAGGAUCCAAGCGUUAUCCGGAAUCAUUGGGUUUAAAGGGUCCGUAGGCGGCUUAAUAAGUCAGCGGUGAAAGUUUUUGGCUUAACCAAAAAAUUGCCAUUGAUACUGUUAGGCUUGAAUUUUUGUGAAGUAACUAGAAUAUGUAGUGUAGCGGUGAGAUGCUUAGAUAUUACAUGGAAUACCAAUUGCGAAGGCAGGUUACUAACAAACGAUUGGCGCUGAUGGACGAAAGCGUGGGUAGCGAACAGGAUUAGAUACCCCUG